rnacentral:rRNA from 1 species
GACAGAGGCCUCAAGCGUUAGGCGGAAUCACUGGGCUUAAAGCGUGUGUAGGCGGAUCGUUAAGUGUCUUGUGAAAUCCCACGGCUCACCCGUGGAACUGCUGGGCAUACUGGCGAUCUUGGGCCAACUAGGGGCAGCCGGAACAAGCGGUGGAGCGGUGAAAUGCGUAGAUAUCGCUUGGAACGCCGGAAGGUGAAAACAGGCUGCUGGGGUUGUGCCGACG